ensembl:misc_RNA 7SK 7SK RNA
UGAUGUGAGGGUGAUCUGGCUUCGACAUCUGUCACCCCACUGAUCGCCAGGGCUGAUUUGGCUGAUCUGGAUGGCUGGGCAUGUGUCCCCUUCCUCCCUCAGUGCUCCAUAUGUGUCCCUCCCAAAGCUGUGUGCUCGCUUGAAGAGGACGACCUUUCCUGAAUAGAGGAAGACCGGUCUUCAGUCAAGGGUAUGCGAGUAGCUGCACUCCUCUGCUAGAACCUCCAAACAAGCUCUCAAGAAAAUACCUUCCUUAAGAUGGGGCUGUAGGUGAGCCUACAGAGCAUUUUCUUAGUCACUGAUAUGGGAGUGCCAAACCCAUUGUGGGUUUUGCCUUCCC